rnacentral:rRNA from 1 species
ACGGCUCAGUAACACGUGGAUAACCUGCCCUAAGGAAGGGGAUAACCUCGGGAAACUGAGGAUAAUACCCUAUAGGUUACAGACGCUGGAAUGCCCUGUAACCGAAAGCUCCGGCGCCUUAGGAUGGAUCUGCGGCCGAUUAGGUUGUUGUUGGGGUAACGGCCCAACAAGCCGAUAAUCGGUACGGGUUGUGGGAGCAAGAGCCCGGAGUUGGAUUCUGAGACACGAAUCCAGGCCCUACGGGGCGCAGCAGGCGCGAAAACUUUACAAUGCGGGAAACCGUGAUAAGGGAACCUCGAGUGCCUGUAUAUGCAGGCUGUCCAGGUGUCUAAAAAACACCUGAAGAAAGGGCCGGGCGAGACCGGUGCCAGCCGCCGCGGUAAUACCGGCGGCUCGAGUGGUGGCCACUUUUAUUGGGCUUAAAGCGUUCGUAGCUGGGUUGUUAAGUCUCUUGGGAAAUCUGACGGCUCAACCGUCAGGCGUCCAAGGGAUACUGGCAAUCUUGGAACCGGGAGAGGUGAGGGGUACUUCGGGGGUAGGAGUGAAAUCCUGUAAUCCUCGAGGGACCACCUGUGGCGAAGGCGCCUCACCAGAACGGCUUCGACAGUGAGGGACGAAAGCUGGGGGAGCAAACCGGAUUAGAUACCCGGGUAGUCCCAGCCCUAAACGAUGCGCGUUAGGUGUAUCGGUGACCACGAGUCACCGAGGUGCCGAAGGGAAACCGUGAAACGUGCCGCCUGGGAAGUACGGUCGCAAGGCUGAAACUUAAAGGAAUUGGCGGGGGAG